rnacentral:rRNA from 1 species
UACAGAGGUCGCGAGCGUUAAUCGGAUUUACUGGGCGUAAAGCGUGUGUAGGUGGUUGUGCAAGUCGGUUGUGAAAUCCCCGGGCUCAACCUGGGAACUGCUUCCGAGACUGUGCGACUAGAGAUCGGUAGAGGGCGGUGGAAUUUCCGGUGUAGCGGUGAAAUGCGUAGAUAUCGGAAGGAACACCAAUGGCGAAGGCAGCCGCCUGGGCCUGAUCUGACACUGAGAGACGAAAGCUAGGGGAGCGAAUGGG